rnacentral:rRNA from 1 species
UAAUACAUAGGAUGCAAGCGUUGCUCGGAAUUACUGGGUGUAAAGAGCGUGUAGGUGGCCAGAUAAGUCAGUGGUGAAAGCCCUCGGCUCAACCGGGGAACUGCCAUUGAAACUGUCUGGCUUGAGUACGGGAGAGGAAAGGGGAAUUCCUGGUGUAGCGGUGAAAUGCGUAGAUAUCAGGAGGAACACCGGUGGCGAAGGCGCCUUUCUGGACCGAUACUGACACUGAGACGCGAAAGCGUGGGGAGCAAACAGGAUUAGAUACCCUGGUAGUCCACGCCCUAAACGAUGGGCACUAGGUGUGGGAACUUUUAGAGUUUCCGUGCCGAAGCUAACGCAUUAAGUGCCCCGCCUGGGAAGUACGAUCGCAAGGUUG